UAUCAGGUCGUAGGGGGUGUAACGUACCCUCUAGCCCUCUACGCGUACGGCAGUUGGGAGACAUAGCCCGGGAGAUGGAUUCUGAGACACGAAUCCAGACCCUACGGGGUGCAGCAGGCGCGAAAACUUGGCAAUGCGAGAAAUCGUGACCAGGGAACUCCAAGUGCAUCGGGUAAGACCGGUGCUUUUCUUGACUCUAAAUAGGUCUUGGAAUAAGGGGUGGGUAAGGACGGUGCCAGCCGCCGCGGUAAUACCGGCGCCUCAAGUGGUAGUCGCUUUUAUUGGGCCUAAAACGUCCGUAGCCGGUCUGAUACAUUCGUGGGUAAAUCAACCAGCUCAACUGGUUGAAUUCUGCGAGGACGGUCAGACUUGGGACCGGGAGAGGUGUGGGGUACGCUCAGGGUAGGGGUAAAAUCCUGUCAUCCUGAGCGGACCACCUGUUGCGAAGGCGCCACACUAGAACGGAUCCGACGGUCAGGGACGAAGCCUAGGGGCACGAACCGGAUUAGAUACCCGGGUAGUCCUAGGUGUAAACGCUGUGGACUUGAUGUUGGGGGUGCUCCGAGCACUCUCAGUGUCGAAGCGAAGGUGAUAAGUCCACUGCCUGGGAAGUACGGUCGCAAGGCUGAAACUUAAAGGAAUUGGCGGGGGAGCACCGCAACCUGAGGAUUGUGCGGUUUAAUUGGAUUCAACGCCGGG
rnacentral:rRNA from 1 species